UGGCACUGAUGAGCAAAUCAAGGCCGAGAGCUCAAGGGACAGGGAUCAAGUCACUGCAAUGGUUGGUCAGUGGCUAAAGGGGACUUAGACCCCAGGUCUCCUGACUCCCUUGAUGCUGCUGUUUCUUGUCCUUCUAAACCUCUUCUGAAGACUUGGGAUUUUCAGUUGUUUUUAAAGAAGGCAUUGGGGGGAGGAAAAAAAAAAAAGGAGGCAAGGUCAUAAACCCAAAUGUGGAAAACAGAUACAAGACGCUGCUGUUCCUUCCCUCAUUAUGUCACUGCAAGGAAGACUAGAAAAUGUCACCUAAGGAGCACCAGCUGCACUCAGCUCCCAGGGCUCAGCCUGCAGACACUGUGCAAUGAAAGAGAACCCAACCUGGAGCAGGAUCUCCAGCUGGUUAGUCUGAACCUGUUUCCUUACAUGAAAAAUGAAGGUUGAAAACACUGAAGUAUUGCUGAGUGAGAAACAUAAGAAGAGUGCCUGGAAUUAGUCCUGCAUCCAGGUAGCAACUCAGCCAACAUUAGGCGGAAUCAUAGGCAAUUGCUACUGUUAUAGGUCACAAUGGCCAAUUAUUGACAAUUUCAUAGGAGGGUUCAACUCUGCAUUAGCUUGCUACUCAGGUAGCCAGGAGAUCAGUGUCCAAUUGAGCAGAGUACCGAGUACCUCUUGAAGAGGUGGCACCUAAGAAGUGGAUUUUACUUGUAUCAUCAAAGAACCAAGACAUGCCAGCACCCUCCUAGAUGUUUUCAAUGCUGGGAGCUUUUCCUGACUCUCAUUAGUUAAGCAAAUCUAAUUGAAGAGCUAGGGUAACAAUGUGGUUAGGAGCCUAGACUCAGGGAAGGAUUUCCUGGAUCAAACUCUUGCGCUUCUAUUCACCAGCUUUGUGACCAUGAGCAAGUUUCUUAGAUAGUCUCAGUUAUCUCUUCUAUGACAUGGGAUAAUGCAGAGUUGCUGUGAGAACUAAAUAAGUUCUUAGAACACUACAGUGUUAACUACCAUUAACUUGAUUUAAGAUAGGUGGUGUGGCCUGAUAUGAGACCUAUGGACAGAAAUCAGAACCUUGACAUUGGAACCUUGCUUUUUUUUUUUUUUUUUUCAGCACCCC
rnacentral:lncRNA from 1 species